rnacentral:ncRNA from 1 species
AAUCUUUCUUUCGGGAGCUUGGACAAACCAGGCUGAGAGGGACUCUUGCACAAGCUGUGAGACCGACCGUCCGAACCUGACCCGGGUAAUGCCGGUGGAGGAAAAUGACAGGUGAUUCAG